rnacentral:SRP_RNA from 1 species
GCUGGGUGUGGUGGCGGGCACCUGUAAUCCCAGCUACUAAGGAGGCUGAGGUGGGAGAAUCGCUUGAACCCAGGAGGCAGAGGUUGCAGUGAGCUGAGAUUGUGCCACCGCAUUCCAGCCUGGGUGACACAGCGAGACUCCGUCUCAA